rnacentral:lncRNA from 10 species
UGGCUGGUGGCGCCUUUGCCCUAGCUUUGCUUGGGUCCGCUGGGUUCGUUCUGCCCACUCAGCCUGGCAGGCUGCACUCAGCCCACGCUACCGGCCUGGAUCCCAUGCCUCCAAGGGAGACUGCAAGUCAGAGUUGGCCAUGCCCAGUUAAAUACCAGCAUACAAGGAAACCUCACCUCGUUGGGAGAAUAUUUCACACCCCUCCAAACUAUCAGCACAGUGGAAACUUGGCAUGUCCCACAUUAAAUCUGGCUGCAGCUGUCUCAGGGAUCCAAGACUGAAUGACUGGUGAUUUUACAUUGAUGUUCUGCUGAACCUUCCUGGUACCUGAGUGGUUAAAAUCUGAGAAUUUCUAGAAGAAAAGAAAGUACGUCUAAAGCAAUGCUAGAAAGGAGCUAAUAAAUUCUUCAGGAUUAACAUCAAAGUCUGAUGCAAACUAAUUUAAUCCCCUUGAUAUUCAGGGAUAAAUUAAAGCUAAUGAAUUAC